GAUGAACGCUGGCGGCGUGCCUAAUACUGCAAGUCGAGCGAACAGACGAGGAGCUUGCUCCUCUGACGUUAGCGGCGGACGGGUGAGUAACACGUGGAUAACCUACCUAUAAGACUGGGAUAACUUCGGGAAACCGGAGCUAAUACCGGAUAAUAUAUUGAACCGCAUGGUUCAAUAGUGAAAGACGGUUUUGCUGUCACUUAUAGAUGGAUCCGCGCCGCAUUAGCUAGUUGGUAAGGUAACGGCUUACCAAGGCGACGAUGCGUAGCCGACCUGAGAGGGUGAUCGGCCACACUGGAACUGAGACACGGUCCAGACUCCUACGGGAGGCAGCAGUAGGGAAUCUUCCGCAAUGGGCGAAAGCCUGACGGAGCAACGCCGCGUGAGUGAUGAAGGUCUUCGGAUCGUAAAACUCUGUUAUUAGGGAAGAACAAAUGUGUAAGUAACUAUGCACGUCUUGACGGUACCUAAUCAGAAAGCCACGGCUAACUACGUG
rnacentral:rRNA from 1 species